UUAGUUACUCUUGAUCUAUCCAAUAAUGAAAUUUCAGGGCCGAUACCUCCUGAUCUUGUGAACUGUGCUUAUUUGAAUAAUUUGAUACUUUCAAAUAAUCGUCUUUCUGGCCCUAUACCUUAUGUGUUCUCUAGUUUGGCUAGGCUAAAGAAGUUUUCUGUGGCAAAUAAUGAUCUUACUGGUACAAUUCCAUCCUUCUUUAGUAAUUUUGAUUCUGGGGAUUUUUCUGGGAAUGAUGG
rnacentral:misc_RNA from 1 species